rnacentral:lncRNA from 1 species
ACUGUUAAUUAAAGCUCUGCAUAUUUUUAUAUACAUUUUUUCCAUCUACCUGUAUGUUUGUAGAUUCACUCCAGUCCCCCAGCCUACUCACUGGAGAGGGUGAUGGCAGCUUUUAAGAUGCGUGGUCAUCUCCUGCUGGCUGAGAUUGAGGAAAAAGAUGAAGUGUACUGUCCAUUCAUAAGAGAAGAAAAGUUAGAGAGCAACAACAAGGACCAAAUGGAGGAUGACGAAUAUGCCAGCAGAAUCAGAUUUAGGCGUUCUCUAAACCGAACAUGGACCAGCCGGUCGAAGAUACAACCUGAGAAAGUUACAGUAGGCACCCGAGAAAACCACACCCAGCAAAGCCACAUGAGGAAGGAGAGACUAAGAGCCAGUGUUACUCAGAGGAGGAUCCAAGAUUUGUCAGUCAACAUGCACAUGAAAGAGGAGCUAAUCAAAGAGCUUGACAAAACUGAGGAGGAGGCCCAAGAAGUGGACCGACAUGCCAGACACAGUGCGGAUGACAGAGACCCUGACGUGCUGGCUAAACUUUACAUGCAGAGGCAGAAGGUCCGAUCAGAAGUGUACCACAGCCUGCAGCACAUGAGGCUGCAGAGAGCACAGCUUCAAACCAGCCUCAGACAGCAGAGAGAGAGUAGGAACAACAUAGAACAAAACCAAAAUGGGGAGAAAAGCACAGAAGAUUUUACAAUGUGUAAAACCAAUCACAAAGAAGAAUCUAAGAAAAAGCUGUGCGACAGUAGUUGGCUGGAGGUGGAAGAGGAGCAGGUGCUUCAGAAGAGAGCAGAGCUGCAGGAGCUGGAAGAGGAGCUGAGGAGAAGAGAGGAGGUGCUCCUGCAUAGAGAAGCCUGUCUACAACAGAAAAGCAAACUGGAGAUCAAGAGGCUACGCUCUAGUCAGGUUAGUAUUAUUCAUGUGUGCCCCUAUGUGAUUUAG